UCCUCGGUAGCUCAGCCGGUAGAGCAGGCGGCUGUUAACCGCCGGGUCGGGGGUUCGAGUCCCUCCCGAGGAGCCA
rnacentral:tRNA from 2 species